GACGAACCGUGCGAACGUUAUUCGGACUCACUGGGCUUAAAGCGCGUGUUGGCGGAUGGGGACGUCGGUUGUUGAAAGCCCCCGGCUCAACCGGGGAACUGGCGCCGAAACGCCCUGUCUUGAGGAGCGUAGGGGGACCUGGAACUUCCGGUGGAGCGGUGAAAUGCGUUGAGAUCGGAAGGAACGCCCGUGGCGAAAGCGAGGUCCUGGACGUUAUCUGACGCUGAGACGCGAAAGCUAGGGGAGCGAACGGG
rnacentral:rRNA from 1 species